rnacentral:rRNA from 1 species
ACUCUAAGCGGUGGAUCACUCGGCUCAUGGGUCGAUGAAGAACGCAGCAAACUGUGCGUCAUCGUGUGAACUGCAGGACACAUGAACAUCGACAUUUUGAACGCAUAUCGCAGUCCAUGCUGUUAUGUACUUUAAUUAAUUUUAUAGUGCUGCUUGGACUACAUAUGGUUGAGGGUUGUAAGACUAUGCUAAUUAAGUUGCUUAUAAAUUUUUAUAAGCAUAUGGUAUAUUAUUGGAUAAAUAUAAUAAUUUUUAUUCAUAAUAUUAAAAAAUAAAUGAAAAACAUUAUCUCACAUUUGAAUGUGAAAAACGAAGAGAAAUAUUUUCUUUUUCAAUCAAAUAAUACUGAGAAAUGUCUAGCAUAAAAAAUUGAAAUAUUUUUCAUCUAGAAUUGUCUCUUAUUAAUGAUUCGGAAAUAGAAAAAUCUUGGUUAUGUUAUUAUUCUUCGUUGGUUCGUUAAAAAUGGAUAAAUAAAAACUUUGCAUACAAGAAUUAAUAAAAAUGUUAUAACGAAUUUAAUUAAAUGUUUUAUCAUUAUAUAUAAAGAAUUUAUGGCAAGAUAAAGUUAUAUACAACCUCAACUCAUAUGGGACUACCCCCUGAAUUUAAGCAUAUUAAUUAGGGGAGGAAAAGAAACUAACAAGGAUUUUCUUAGUAGCGGCGAGCGAAAAGAAAACAGUUCAGCACUAAGUCACUUUGUCUAUAUGGCAAAUGUGAGAUGCAGUGUAUGGAGCGUCAAUAUUCUAGUAUGAGAAAUUAACGAUUUAAGUCCUUCUUAAAUGAGGCCAUUUACCCAUAGAGGGUGCCAGGCCCGUAUAACGUUAAUGAUUACUAGAUGAUGUUUCCAAAGAGUCGUGUUGCUUGAUAGUGCAGCACUAAGUGGGUGGUAAACUCCAUCUAAAACUAAAUAUAACCAUGAGACCGAUAGUAAACAAGUACCGUGAGGGAAAGUUGAAAAGAACUCUGAAUAGAGAGUUAAACAGUACGUGAAACUGCUUAGAGGUUAAGCCCGAUGAACCUGAAUAUCCGUUAUGGAAAAUUCAUCAUUAAAAUUGUAAUAUUUAAAUAAUAUUAUGAGAAUAGUGUGCAUUUUUUCCAUAUAAGGACAUUGUAAUCUAUUAGCAUAUACCAAAUUUAUCAUAAAAUAUAACUUAUAGUUUAUUCCAAUUAAAUUGCUUGCAUUUUAACACAGAAUAAAUGUUAUUAAUUUGAUAAAGUGCUGAUAGAUUUAUAUGAUUACAGUGCGUUAAUUUUUCGGAAUUAUAUAAUGGCAUAAUUAUCAUUGAUUUUUGUGUUUAUUAUAUGCACUUGUAUGAUUAACAAUGCGAAAGAUUCAGGAUACCUUCGGGACCCGUCUUGAAACACGGACCAAGGAGUCUAACAUAUGUGCAAGUUAUUGGGAUAUAAACCUAAUAGCGUAAUUAACUUGACUAAUAAUGGGAUUAGUUUUUUAGCUAUUUAUAGCUAAUUAACACAAUCCCGGGGCGUUCUAUAUAGUUAUGUAUAAUGUAUAUUUAUAUUAUUUAUGCCUCUAACUGGAACGUACCUUGAGCAUAUAUGCUGUGACCCGAAAGAUGGUGAACUAUACUUGAUCAGGUUGAAGUCAGGGGAAACCCUGAUGGAAGACCGAAACAGUUCUGACGUGCAAAUCGAUUGUCAGAAUUGAGUAUAGGGGCGAAAGACCAAUCGAACCAUCUAGUAGCUGGUUCCUUCCGAAGUUUCCCUCAGGAUAGCUGGUGCAUUUUAAUAUUAUAUAAAAUAAUCUUAUCUGGUAAAGCGAAUGAUUAGAGGCCUUAGGGUCGAAACGAUCUUAACCUAUUCUCAAACUUUAAAUGGGUAAGAACCUUAACUUUCUUGAUAUGAAGUUCAAGGUUAUGAUAUAAUGUGCCCAGUGGGCCACUUUUGGUAAGCAGAACUGGCGCUGUGGGAUGAACCAAACGUAAUGUUACGGUGCCCAAAUUAACAACUCAUGCAGAUACCAUGAAAGGCGUUGGUUGCUUAAAACAGCAGGACGGUGAUCAUGGAAGUCGAAAUCCGCUAAGGAGUGUGUAACAACUCACCUGCCGAAGCAACUAGCCCUUAAAAUGGAUGGCGCUUAAGUUGUAUACCUAUACAUUACCGCUAAAGUAGAUGAUUUAUAUUACUUGUGAUAUAAAUUUUGAAACUUUAGUGAGUAGGAAGGUACAAUGGUAUGCGUAGAAGUGUUUGGCGUAAGCCUGCAUGGAGCUGCCAUUGGUACAGAUCUUGGUGGUAGUAGCAAAUAAUCGAAUGAGACCUUGGAGGACUGAAGUGGAGAAGGGUUUCGUGUGAACAGUGGUUGAUCACGAGUUAGUCGGUCCUAAGUUCAAGGCGAAAGCCGAAAAUUUUCAAGUAAAACAAAAAUGCCUAACUAUAUAAACAAAGCGAAUUAUAAUACACUUGAAUAAUUUUGAACGAAAGGGAAUACGGUUCCAAUUCCGUAACCUGUUGAGUAUCCGUUUGUUAUUAAAUAUGGGCCUCGUGCUCAUCCUGGCAACAGGAACGACCAUAAAGAAGCCGUCGAGAGAUAUCGGAAGAGUUUUCUUUUCUGUUUUAUAGCCGUACUACCAUGGAAGUCUUUCGCAGAGAGAUAUGGUAGAUGGGCUAGAAGAGCAUGACAUAUACUGUUGUGUCGAUAUUUUCUCCUCGGACCUUGAAAAUUUAUGGUGGGGACACGCAAACUUCUCAACAGGCCGUACCAAUAUCCGCAGCUGGUCUCCAAGGUGAAGAGUCUCUAGUCGAUAGAAUAAUGUAGGUAAGGGAAGUCGGCAAAUUAGAUCCGUAACUUCGGGAUAAGGAUUGGCUCUGAAGAUUGAGAUAGUCGGGCUUGAUUGGGAAACAAUAACAUGGUUUAUGUGCUCGUUCUGGGUAAAUAGAGUUUCUAGCAUUUAUGUUAGUUACUUGUUCCCCGGAUAGUUUAGUUACGUAGCCAAUUGUGGAACUUUCUUGCUAAAAUUUUUAAGAAUACUAUUUGGGUUAAACCAAUUAGUUCUUAUUAAUUAUAACGAUUAUCAAUUAACAAUCAAUUCAGAACUGGCACGGACUUGGGGAAUCCGACUGUCUAAUUAAAACAAAGCAUUGUGAUGGCCCUAGCGGGUGUUGACACAAUGUGAUUUCUGCCCAGUGCUCUGAAUGUCAAAGUGAAGAAAUUCAAGUAAGCGCGGGUCAACGGCGGGAGUAACUAUGACUCUCUUAAGGUAGCCAAAUGCCUCGUCAUCUAAUUAGUGACGCGCAUGAAUGGAUUAACGAGAUUCCUACUGUCCCUAUCUACAAGAUUUGCCGAGGUCGCAGGAAGUGCACGGAGAUUGGGUGCCUCCGCGUGAAUGGCGAGCUGAUCACUGAUUGGGGUGACUGCGCACGAGUGCUCCUCCGCAAUUUUUCCCAGUUGCGGAGUCCGAAGCACCGACUGCCAUCGCGGAGGAAGUCCCACCGGCCCUCGAAGUAUUCGAGGUUGAUACAUGUGUUGCCGGCUGAAGAGCAGGCGCUCUCCCGGGUUGGACGG